rnacentral:rRNA from 1 species
GUAGGGAGCAAGCGUUGUUCGGAAUUAUUGGGCGUAAAGAGCGCGUAGGCGGAUAGGCAAGUCCGGUGUGAAAUCCCACAGCUCAACUGUGGAACUGCAUUGGAAACUUCCUAGCUGGAGUGCGGGAGAGGAGAGUGGAAUUCCCAGUGUAGAGGUGAAAUUCGUAGAUAUUGGGAGGAACACCGGUGGCGAAGGCGGCUCUCUGGACCGCAACUGACGCUGAGGCGCGAAAGCUAGGGGAGCGAACGGGAUUAGAUACCCCGGUAGUCCUAGCCGUAAACGAUGGGCACUAGGUGUGGGAGGUAUCGACCCCUUCUGUGCCGCAGCUAACGCAUUAAGUGCCCCGCCUGGGGAGUACGGUCGCAAGACUA